AAGUACCCAAAUUUAGAUGGCUAAGAAAGUUGGGUUUGAGUUAGAAGCCCAUGUAAUUAAACUUAUGAUGUUCUUGCUUCUCCUUAUUUGCGGCGCAUACUAUGAAUUAUAAUGAAGAAGAACGUGUUUAACAUCACUUUCUUCAGAAAUUCAAGACAAAGUCUUUAAACUCUUCUUCAUGCUUCAAAUCCUUCACAAAAUUCGAGGAGAAGAGAGAAACUGGACUUAUUUUUGCUCAGUUUCUGUAUCAAACUCAGGAGGAGCUCUGGCAUGCUAUUGCCUGAAACCAGCGAUGAAGAAACCGGGCAAAGCAAUUACAGGCAAUGUAGGAGAAGUGUACUUGGGAUGAUUUCUACUCCCGAGUCUCGAAAGUGGCAAUGAGCUUAUAAUUGGCAGGAUCAGCGAGAAUGGCUUGCUCUUACCAAUACUUUCCCAGAUUUUUGAUCCAUCCGACUACCAAUAUUAAUACAAUCUUAGAAGGUAUGAAUUAGCAGUGGUAGUGGGCCUGGUGGGCCCAUGUCUUUUCUAGCGUUAUGUUGGACAAAGGAGGGCCCACUGACUGGGAGGUGCACGUGGGUUCGGGAUAUGGCUCAUCCUUUUCAGGCCCAACAUUGCGGUUGAAUGAUAGAGAGAGAGUGAAUGAAAGAUAGUAAUGUUUUUCAUGAUAAUGCACAAACAAAAUGUUAUUAUUGCAUUACAAUUAUGAAACUCUCAAUAUAAAAAGAAAAGGCUAAUUGUCUAUUAGAACUCACAA